AGCCGCGCCUCCCCCUCGGUCGCCGCCGCUCCUCAGCCCGCCGUCGAUCUCUCCCUCUCCCGGCGGCAGUCGUGGCCCUCUCUCUCACCGGACGGCGCGGCCGCUAUCUCCAUUGCCGGACACCGCGCUGCUGCCCCUCACCCCGCCUGUCUCCACCGCUGCUCCCUCGGUCCACUGUCCCCGCCGCGCCUCCCCCCGGUCGUCGCCCCUCAGCCCACCACGGACGGCCGCGCCUCUACCCCGGCGAGGAGCAGCAGCGACCCUCUCUCUCACCGGACGUUGUGCCCGCUGUCUCCCUCGCCGGACGCCGCCGCGCUCGCUUUCUCUGGACUCCAGGCCCGCUGCUCCCUCUGCCCCAAAUUUCAGAGAUAAUAUUGCCCAGAGACUUGGAAGACCCCUAAAAUAUACUGUAUCCCCCAGUUCAGAUGAGCACUAAAAGAAGAGACAGAAAAAAAAGACCAAGAGACUGCUGCCUGUCAAGAAAUGGAGGAGAUCAAAUUCAAGGAACCAUUGUUGGAUGGAAAGUUCUGAGAGAUGGCAUCUGGAGGGCGUGACUUUGAGCGUGUGAGGCUAAAGUUGGCAAUUGUAGUGGAGGUGAUAUAUCAUCUGUCUUUCUUAUAUCUGCACUGAGUAGCAAAGCUGGAGAUGAGAAGAAGACUGGUGGCAAUUCACAGGGACAAUAUUUGCCCGCAAAAAGUGAACAGCGAUCUAGACAAGGGUUGUAUCCAGCAAAGCCAAACUGUUCUAUACCAUCAUGCAUAAAUAUUUGAUGAGCACUGUUCUUGGUUAAUUUUCUUAUAUUGGAAGCAUGCUGGAACAUAACUGGACUACAUACUCUUACAUUGGAAUACUUUAACUUGAAGAAAUGGUUCUGCUGCAUGCAACCUACUGCUGCUGAAUCUUGAAGAUCAUGGGCUUAUUAUUGGAUUGAGGAAGCGGCUACCUUGUUAAAAUCUCAAAAAGCUCCACGAUAUCCAUGGGAACUUGUUAGCAAAUCUGCAGGUAUACUUAUGAUGCACUGAAGUGUUAUGCACCAGGAAUGGUUGAAGUUCUCAUUGAUAGUGUGCAGAACUCAGCAUUUUUAGAAUGAGAGGUCAAAGAGCAGAUCCAGAAGAUAAAGUCUGGAAUAUCUGAAGUUUGAGAGAAUUUUGUGUACUGCUGACGCGCUCGCCGUGCCGGUGCUCGUCAAGAAGAUGUUCCGCGUGUCCGACACGGCCACCGAGCUUGUCGUGUCCUCCCACCGAGCUUGCGUGUCCUCAUUCCACCGCAUCUGCAAGAAAUGCAGCGACGACGUGGAGUUUCCGGCGACGGCUGCAACGAGGCGGGUCGCCGUGGUCGAGGCGGUCCAGGUGGGCGCGUUCCAGAAUGUGAUGAUGCUGCUGCAGGUUGGGUGCAGGGAGGCAACAAAGGAGAAGGCGACCGUGCUGCUCAAGUUGAUGAUCAAGUAUGAAUCGAGAGGAAACUGUUUUGAUGCCAUGGAUUUCAGAGGGCUCAAGAGGGUUUCUUGAAUCGAAGCAAAAACUAAAUUGUAAUUAUGAGAAUAUGUCUUAGAAUAGGUCCAUAUAUACACAUGGUACAUCAUGCAAGAAUUUUAGUUAGGAAAUGUACAGAUGUUCAGGAUGUUUUGUCUUUAUAAACAUUUUUGAUUUGCUUGAUAUUCUAUUGUGGUCUAAACAUAUAUGUACUAUAUCCCCAAAAUGUUCAUACAAGUUUGAGUUUAAGAUCUGGAGAGGUGUAUGAAAAAAUGAAUCUUUGGUCCAAACUCAGUUGCCAGAAUCAAGGAUGUGAA